UGGGGAAUAUUGCACAAUGGACGGAAGUCUGAUGCAGCAACGCCGCGUGCGGGAUGACGGCCUUCGGGUUGUAAACCGCUUUUUCUCAUGACGAAGUUUUUUGACGGUAGUGGGGGAAGAAGCACCGGCUAACUACGUGCCAGCAGCCGCGGUGAUACGUAGGGUGCGAGCGUUGUCCGGAAUUAUUGGGCGUAAAGAGCUUGUAGGCGGUUUGUCGCGUCGAUAGUGCAAACUCAGUGCUUAACGCUGAGCCUUCUGUUGAUACGGGCAGACUAGAGGAAGGUAGGGGAGAAUGGAAUUCCCGUUGGAGCGGUUGAAUGCGCAGAUAUCGGGAGGAACACCGGUGGCGAAGGCGGUUCUCUGGGCCUUUCCUGACGCUGAGAAGCGAAAGCGUGGGGAGCGAACAGG
rnacentral:rRNA from 1 species